rnacentral:rRNA from 1 species
UGGGGAAUAUUGCACAAUGGGCGCAAGCCUGAUGCAGCAAUGCCGCGUGUGUGAAGAAGGCUCUAGGGUUGUAAAGCACUUUCAAUAGAGAAGAAAAGCUUGAAGUUAAUACCUUCAAGCCUUGACGUAACCUAUACAAGAAGCACCGGCUAAUUCCGUGCCAGCAGCCGCGGUAAUACGGAAGGUGCGAGCGUUAAUCGGAAUUACUGGGCGUAAAGCGAGCGUAGGCUGUUAAUUAAGUCGAAUGUGAAAUCCCCGGGCUCAACCUGGGAACUGCAUUCGAAACUAUUUGACUAGAGUAUGGGAGAGGAAAGUAGAAUUUCCGGUGUAGCGGUGAAAUGCGUAGAUAUCGGAAGGAAUACCAGUGGCGAAGGCGGCUUUCUGGAACAAUACUGACGCUGAGGUUCGAAAGCGUGGGGAGCAAACAGG